rnacentral:rRNA from 1 species
GGUCAAGUGAAGAAGCGCAUACGGUGGAUGCCUUGGCAGUCAGAGGCGAUGAAAGACGUGGUAGCCUGCGAAAAGCUUCGGGGAGUCGGCAAACAGACUUUGAUCCGGAGAUGUCUGAAUGGGGGAACCCAGCCAUCAUAAGAUGGUUAUCUUACGC